CCUACGGGUGGCAGCAGUGAGGAAUAUUGGUCAAUGGCCGAGAGGCUGAACCAGCCAAGUCGCGUGAGGGAAGACGGCCCUACGGGUUGUAAACCUCUUUUGUCGGGGAGCAAAGAGAGUCACGUGUGACUCAUUGAGAGUACCCGAAGAAAAAGCAUCGGCUAACUCCGUGCCAGCAGCCGCGGUAAUACGGAGGAUGCGAGCGUUAUCCGGAUUUAUUGGGUUUAAAGGGUGCGCAGGCGGCCUGUUAAGUCAGGGGUAAAAGGCCGGGGCUCAACCCCAGCAGAGCCGUUGAAAUUGGCGGGCUGGAGUACGAGAGAGGUACGCGGAAUGCGUGGUGUAGCGGUGAAAUGCUUAGAUAUCGCGAAGAACCCCGAUUGCGAAGGCAGCGUACCGGCUCCACACUGACGCUGAGGCACGAAAGCGUGGGUAUCGAACAGGAUUAGAUACCCCAGUAGUC
rnacentral:rRNA from 1 species